UACGUAGGGAGCAAGCGUUGUCCGGAAUCAUUGGGCGUAAAGCGCGCGUAGGCGGCCCUGUAAGUCCGUUGUGAAAGUCAAAGGCUCAACCUUUGAAAGCCGAUGGAUACUGCAGGGCUAGAGUCCGGAAGAGGCGAGUGGAAUUCCUGGUGUAGCGGUGAAAUGCGCAGAUAUCAGGAGGAACACCCGUGGCGAAAGCGGCCCUCUGGGACGGUACUGACGCUGAGACGCGAAAGCGUGGGAG
rnacentral:rRNA from 1 species